rnacentral:lncRNA from 1 species
AUUGUUCUUAGAUCUCCCAACUUUUUAUCACUUUACCACUGCAUCACCAUUCUCUCAACUUCUCUUUUUCUCUCACUUUCUCUCAUUGGAAAAGCAUUGCACUAAAUGCUUUCGUCUCUGUGAGUCCAGCCACUACCAAGAUUGCCACCUUCUCCUCAUCUCGCUUUCCUCACUCCACUCUCAUCUCCUUCUCUCCACCUCCAUGCCUUCCUAUCUCUGAUCAUUUUCAAUAAAAAAUUACUGGUGAACCUCUAUCUAAACGAAAACCUCCCAAAGAUUCAUCUUUUCAACGAAUAUCAGAGACUUCAGACGAUAUCGGUAGAGAUCUAGUCGAAAACAUUUAUUUUCUCCACUUGGAGAAUUUCAUGAAAUCUAUAUAUUGGACGAUGAACCACCACCAAAAUGAAAACCUCCCAAAGCUUCAUUUUUUUAGCAAAUGUCGUACAAUUCCGACAAUAUAGGUAGAGGUCUAGCCAGAUCUAGUCGGAAAGAUUUGUUUACUUUGUUUGAAGACUCCCAUAAAAUAUAUAUAUAUGAUGGUGAACCUUAAUCAAAAUGAAAACCUCUCAAAAUUUCAUCUUUUUUCAUGAAUGUCAGAGAAUUCUGAGGAUACAUGUGGAGAUCUGAAUAGAUUUGAUCGAAAAUGUUUGUUUUAUUCAUUCGGAGAAUUCCACAAAAUCGAUGUAUCUGAUAGAUUUUCAUGUUGUUGAUACAUAGAAUAAUGUAUCUGACUAACGUUAUGUAUCAAACUGAUGUUAAUGUUCUAGAUACACAAAC